rnacentral:rRNA from 1 species
CUGGCGGUAUGCUUACACAUGCAAGUCGAACGGUAACAUGGGAGCUUGCUCCCGAUGACGAGUGGCGGACGGGUGCGUAACGCGUAGGAAUCUGCCUAUUAGUGGGGGACAACAUGAGGAAACUCAUGCUAAUACCGCAUACGCCCUACGGGGGAAAGCAGGGGAUCUUCGGACCUUGCGCUAAUAGAUGAGCCUGCGUUAGAUUAGCUAGUUGGUGAGGUAAUGGCUCACCAAGGCGACGAUCUAUAGCUGGUCUGAGAGGACGAUCAGCCACACUGGGACUGAGACACGGCCCAGACUCCUACGGGAGGCAGCAGUAGGGAAUAUUGGACAAUGGGCGCAAGCCUGAUCCAGCAAUGCCGCGUGUGUGAAGAAGGCCUGCGGGUUGUAAAGCACUUUCAGUUGGGAAGAAAAGUUUAGGGUUAAUAACCCUGAAUUUUGACGUUACCAACAGAAGAAGCACCGGCUAACUCUGUGCCAGCAGCCGCGGUAAUACG